rnacentral:lncRNA from 1 species
GUGUGCUUAUGUGUUAGUGUAUGUAUAGAUAUAAUAUUAGACUCUUCAAAACAACACAUAUACAAAAAACCCUAUUAGAGUUUCUCUUCGAGCCCUCAUCUCUCCCGCAAGUUUUCUUGAUCUCCAUUGUAUUUCCUUGCUAUUAUUCUUAUAAGUGUGCUUAUGUGUUAGUGUAUGUAUAGAUAUAUUAUUAGACUCUUCAAAACAACACAUAUACAAAAAACCCUAUUAGAGUUUCUCUUCGAGCCCUCAUCUCUCCCGCAAGUUUUCUUGAUCUCCAUUGUAUUUCCUUGCUAUUAUUCUUAUAAGUGUGCUUAUGUGUUAGUGUAUGUAUAGAUAUAAUAUUAGACUCUUCAAAACAACACAUAUACCAAAAACCCUAUUAGAGUUUCUCUUCGAGCCCUCAUCUCUCCCGCAAGUUUUCUUGAUCUCCAUUGUAUUUCCUUGCUAUUAUUCUUAUAAGUGUGCUUAUGUGUUAGUGUAUGUAUAGAUAUAUUAUUAGACUCUUCAAAACAACACAUAUACAAAAAACCCUAUUAGAGUUUCUCUUCGAGCCCUCAUCUCUCCCGCAAGUUUUCUUGAUCUCCAUUGUAUUUCCUUGCUAUUAUUCUUAUAAGUGUGCUUAUGUGUUAGUGUAUGUAUAGAUAUAAUAUUAGACUCUUCAAAACAACACAUAUACAAAAAACCCUAUUAGAGUUUCUCUUCGAGCCCUCAUCUCUCCCGCAAGUUUUCUUGAUCUCCAUUGUAUUUCCUUGCUAUUAUUCUUAUAAGUGUGCUUAUGUGUUAGUGUAUGUAUAGAUAUAUUAUUAGACUCUUCAAAACAACACAUAUACAAAAAACCCUAUUAGAGUUUCUCUUCGAGCCUUCAUCUCUCUCGCAAGUUUUCUUGAUCUCCAUUGUAUUUCCUUGCUAUUAUUCUUAUAAGUUUUGCUCGUAUAUUUUGCUCUUUUUAUAUAUAAGCAUGCAUGUCGCUAACCUUUAUAUCAAAGUAUAAAGAGCUUAAACCCAAUAAAAUUUUGAUGUAUAUACUACAAAAUUCUAAACAUGCCAUCUUCGUAUACACAUGAUUUGUAACACCCCAAAAAUAAAUUUUUUCUUUUUUUUUUUAAUAUUGGAACCUUUUUUUUUUAGAUUUAAUUGAAAUUGAUUUUAAAAAAAAUGGGUGAAAAUUUGAAUUCUGAAGUGUUUUUGAAAAGAAAAUCAGAAACCGGAAAUCAAAAUUCAAUUUAAAAAAGUUGACCACGUCAGCAACUCAAUCAGCAGUUCCGGUCACCCAGGACACGCCGCGUGGCAAUAAACGCUGACGCGGGACGGGAUCACGUGAUCAACUUGUUGGGUAUGAUUAACUUUUCACUGCUGGUUUUUUUCCCAUGUGUUCGUGUGCAAUUAUGGUAGUGAUGUUAUGGGUCGAAACCAUGAUGGCUAUGCACGUUACAUGUCUUUUAUAUAUGUACCUAUACAUGUACAUAUACAUAUAUGUAAGAUAGAGUACAAGUCUAUGAUUCAACUUGCCUUUGUUUUUUCUUUUGGUUUUGGGCUAGUUGGGAGUAAGGUUGGAAAUACCCACUAAAAAGAUAAAACGAGAGAAUUAAAGAUAGUCAUGAACUUCAUGGUGUAUAUGCGAAUAUAAUAUAUUAUUUUGAAUUUAAAUUUACUAAAAAAUAACUUCAAUUAUUAAUAUAUUUUAAAAAAAUUCAUAACCCAUAUAAAAAUUUCAUAAAUUUUUCGAUGCAAGGUAUAAAUUUUAAAUCAAUUACUUAUCGAAAUUCAAAUAAUCCAAGUUCGUAUUUAUUAAUAUUUAAUUUGGUAAAACUAUAGAUCAAAUAUAUUUUAAUGUCUAAUUGAAUUUAAAUCAAAAAACAAAUCAUAAUUAUCAAAUUUAUUUUGCCUAAGUUACAUAAUUUUCAAGUUGGAUGAGAAAGGAGAUUAUAAUUUCUCGAUAUUAAUUGUAUAUAUAUAUAUGUAUAUAUAUAUAUAUGUAUGUAUCUUGCAUUUUGGAAUUAAUUGGUGUUGAAUGUUCAUUGAAUAUUUUCAAUCUCAACAAAAAAAAAUGUUCAUUGAAUUUUAGCGAAGGACCACAAAGUCACAAUAAUUACCAUUUUUGCCACCGGCUUAAAAAAAAAAAAAAAAAAAAAAAAGCAUGCGAUUUUCAGGUGUGGUCCUUAUACCACUACAACUGUGAGAUAUAUAUUUUCAUAAUAUUAUAAGUUUAUUAUAUACAUAUUAUACAUAUAUUGUGUGCGGAAAUUAAACGGUGUCGUUUGAGAGCAAAAAUCAAAAUUUACACAAAUGCCAUGCAAGAAGCCCAAUCUACUUAAUUGGGCUCAACUUUCAUAAUACUACUACAAGUUGAUUACAUACAUAUUAGACAUAUAGUGUGUGCGGAAAUUAAACGGUGUCGUUUGAGAGCAAAAAUUACAAUUUACAUAAUAAUGCCAUGCAAGAAGCCCAAUACACUACCAAGUGUAACACGCUCAUCAACUUCGGUAUAAUUUUUUGAAAAAUAUUUCUUUGAUGAUUUAGUUCUUAAUUUUGGUGUAAUUAAAAUUAAUUAAAUCAUAAACACAUUUAAUAUAAUUAAUACUUAUUUAUUAAAACUAUUAUGCCCAUGUCUUGUCCAACUUCAUUAAAUAAAUAAAAUCAUAAUUUAUAUGUUCCCUACUUUUUAGGGGAAUUUAUAUAUCACCCUUUAUAUAUAUAUAUAUAAUAAUAAAUCGCAUUAGUUGAAUUUGAGAUUCUCCAUGGUCAUAAUCUCACCAACCCUCACAAAGCUUAAGGUUUAUUAAAUUAAUAAGAUAUAUAUAUAUAGAUAUAUAUAUGUAUGUAUACAUAUAAAAUAAUAAACAUAUGAUUCUUUCAUAAAUUUUAUCAUAAUAAUGAUAAUGAUAAUGAUUACAUAUAUAUAUAUAUAAAUAUAUAACUUUAUGGUUAACUUUGACCCGCCGAAGACUAUAUUAUUCUUAUGUUUUAAAUACACCAUUUAAAUUAAGUUAGCUAACACGCACCUACAUAUUUAAUUAAUCACUAAAUCAAAUUACUAUAUACAUAUAUACAUAUAUCUAUAUAUGUUAAUGUUGAUGGCAGGUUAAUUAUGGAAUUCAUUAAGAAAUAAAUUAUGGGGAGUGGUUAAUAUGUCAUAUACUAGAUUCUAAUUUUGUUAAUGCUGCUACUUGUGGACCUAUGCCUGUUUUUAAUACACGUUAUGUACAUAUUUAUAUAUAUUGCUGUUGACAAGUUAUAGACCACAUACAUAUAUAUAUAUAUAUACACACACACACACAUAUAUAUAUAUAUACUCAAUUCACAUUUAUUAUAAUAUAUGGCCCAAUAAAUCUUCUUCAUUAAGCCGCUUUAUGAUGCAAGAUUAACGUCACGCUUAUGUUGGUAAACAAAUAUACAAGAAUAUUACGUAUCCCGCAUUUUAUACGGUGUCGUUUUGUUUUUAUUUGCCUCGAAAGAAACUACUGAAUUUUAUAAUCAAAAUGCAAUAAUUAAUUACUUAAUUUAAAUUAAAUACAAGACGACGUAGUUUCCAAAGAUUGAUGGACACGUGGAGGUCGGGGACGUCAGCAGAGGAACGGUGCCGCGGCAGCGCAGGGAGACAAAUGGCGGCGAGUGGAGAAGGUUUCUUGGGAGGACAGCGAAAGCGAACGCGGUGGGACCCAUUUUUGGUCAACUAAGCAGAUUUGACCAUCAAGAUUCGUUCACGUGGCAGAUGGGUCCCGUAUAAAGAAGCCGGUAGAACAACAACGAACAGCAAAACCUAACACCCCCAACAAACCCCCCUACGCUUCUGUCAGUCAUCGGUUCGGGGUCUCAAUCAAAACGGUUCGUUUUGGUUGCUUAACUUGUUGUUGACUCGGCCAUGCCGUUGACUCCUCCAUUGUAAUAAUAAACUCGGUUGAAAGUUGAAACUCAUCUUCCAAUGCCUCCCUACAUAUAAUUACAUAUAUACAUAUACCCACAUAUAUAUAUAUAUAUAUGUGAAUGAGAACAAGGAGGAGGAGUUGUAAAACUAAGUCCACGUUAAGAUUUAGGUAAACAUGCAUAUACAAAGCAAACAAAGUUGAUAUAUUUUAUUACAAUAUGAACCCAAAGAAACCAACUUGUAUAUAUAUAUAUAUAUAUAUGUGUGUGUGUGUGUGUGUGUGUAUGUGUGUACACACAUAUUCACAACAAGGGUGUAAACUUUUUAAUUAUAAAGUGUAUGCAUUAUAUAUUUUACCUCUAAUAAAAUCUUAUAUUUUUUAUUGCAAAAUUUUUUAAAAUUUUUAAUUUUUAUUAGAAAAUAAAUCGAUUUAUUUUAGUAUAAAAUUUCCC